rnacentral:rRNA from 1 species
GACGAACGCUGGCGGCGCGCUUAACACAUGCAAGUCGAGCGAAGCGGCGGACGGGUGAGUAACACGUGAGUAACCUGCCUUAGACCUUGGGAUAACCUCGGGAAACCGGGAUUAAUACCAAAUGGUCUAAGAUUGACUAGCGUCCCAUUAGCGAGUUGGUGAGGUAACGGCCCACCAAGGCGACGAUGGUUAGCCGGCCUGAGAGGGUGAACCGGCACUUUGGAACGGAGAAGCGGUCCAAACUCUACGGGAUGCAGCAGUGGGGAAUAUAGCACAAUGGAGGGAACUCAGAUGCCGCUACGCUGCUUGAACGCAUAAGGCUGUCGAGUCGUAAAGUUCUUUUAUAUGGGAAGCGGUACCAUAAGAAAAAGCCCCGGCUAACUACGUGCCAGCAGCCGCGGUAAUAC